GUGGGUUGGCUCAGUGGUUAGAGCUUAGAUCUCGUAACAGAAAGGUUGCGGGAUCGAAUCCCGCUAUA
rnacentral:tRNA from 1 species